AUUGAACGCUGGCGACAUGCCUUACACAUGCAAGUCGAACGGCAGCACGGGUGCUUGCACCUGGUGGCGAGUGGCGAACGGGUGAGUAAUACAUCGGAACAUGUCCUGUAGUGGGGGAUAGCCCGGCGAAAGCCGGAUUAAUACCGCAUACGAUCUACGGAUGAAAGCGGGGGAGCUGCGGGCCUCGCGCUAUAGGGUUGGCCGAUGGCUGAUUAGCUAGUUGGUGGGGUAAAGGCCUACCAAGGCGACGAGCAGUAGCUGGUCUGAGAGGACGACCAGCCACACUGGGACUGAGACACGGCCCAGAGUACUGCGGGAGGCAGCAGUGGGGAAUUUUGGACAAUGGGCGAAAGCAUGAUCCAGCAAUGCCGCGUGUGUGAAGAAGGCCUUCGGGUUGUAAAGCACUUUUGUCCGGAAAGAAAUCCUUGGCCCUAAUACGGUCGGGGGAUGACGGUACCGGAAGAAUAAGCACCGGCUAACUACGUG
rnacentral:rRNA from 1 species